UUAAGCGACUAAGCGUACACGGUGGAUGCCCUGGCAGUCAGAGGCGAUGAAGGACGUGCUAAUCUGCGAUAAGCGCCGGUAAGGUGAUAUGAACCGUUAUAACCGGCGAUUUCCGAAUGGGGAAACCCAGUGUGAUUCGUCACACUAUCAUUAACUGAAUCCAUAGGUUAAUGAGGCGAACCGGGGGAACUGAAACAUCUAAGUACCCCGAGGAAAAGAAAUCAACCGAGAUUCCCCCAGUAGCGGCGAGCGAACGGGGAGGAGCCCAGAGCCUGAAUCAGCAUGUGUGUUAGUGGAAGCGUCUGGAAAGGCGCGCGAUACAGGGUGACAGCCCCGUACACAAAAGCGCAUGUGUUGUGAGCUCGAUGAGUAGGGCGGGACACGUGGUAUCCUGUCUGAAUAUGGGGGGACCAUCCUCCAAGGCUAAAUACUCCUGACUGACCGAUAGUGAACCAGUACCGUGAGGGAAAGGCGAAAAGAACCCCGGCGAGGGGAGUGAAAAAGAACCUGAAACCGUGUACGUACAAGCAGUGGGAGCCCCACCACUAAGCCAGUGGUGAACUCCACAUACGCAUCCUUUGCUGAGGAUACGGUUAACGGAGCGCAAGCGACGUUCAACCGCAAAAGAAGCAGAGGGGGCUUAGUGGUGGGGUGACUGCGUACCUUUUGUAUAAUGGGUCAGCGACUUAUAUUCUGUAGCAAGGUUAACCGUAUAGGGGAGCCGCAGGGUGACUGCGUACCUUUUGUAUAAUGGGUCAGCGACUUAUAUUCUGUAGCAAGGUUAACCGUAUAGGGGAGCCGCAGGGAAACCGAGUCUUAACCGGGCGUUAAGUUGCAGGGUAUAGACCCGAAACCCGGUGAUCUAGCCAUGGGCAGGUUGAAGGUUGGGUAACACUAACUGGAGGACCGAACCGACUAAUGUUGAAAAAUUAGCGGAUGACCUGUGGCUGGGGGUGAAAGGCCAAUCAAACCGGGAGAUAGCUGGUUCUCCCCGAAAGCUAUUUAGGUAGCGCCUCGUGAAUUCAUCUCCGGGGGUAGAGCACUGUUUCGGCUAGGGGGCCAUCCCGGCUUACCAACCCGAUGCAAACUGCGAAUACCGGAGAAUGUUAUCACGGGAGACACACGGCGGGUGCUAACGUCCGUCGUGAAGAGGGAAACAACCCAGACCGCCAGCUAAGGUCCCAAAGUCAUGGUUAAGUGGGAAACGAUGUGGGAAGGCCCAGACAGCCAGGAUGUUGGCUUAGAAGCAGCCAUCAUUUAAAGAAAGCGUAAUAGCUCACUGGUCGAGUCGGCCUGCGCGGAAGAUGUAACGGGGCUAAACCAUGCACCGAAGCUGCGGCAGCGANGUAAUAGCUCACUGGUCGAGUCGGCCUGCGCGGAAGAUGUAACGGGGCUAAACCAUGCACCGAAGCUGCGGCAGCGAACGUAUCACUUAAAGCGAUUCAGCGGGUUACGAUUGACGGAGCGAAGCGACGUCAAAGCGUAUACAAAGUCGAGUCGGUUUAAGGAUACGUUCGUUGGGUAGGGGAGCGUUCUGUAAGCCUGUGAAGGUGGCCUGUGAGGGUUGCUGGAGGUAUCAGAAGUGCGAAUGCUGUUGGGUAGGGGAGCGUUCUGUAAGCCUGUGAAGGUGGCCUGUGAGGGUUGCUGGAGGUAUCAGAAGUGCGAAUGCUGACAUAAGUAACGAUAAAGCGGGUGAAAAGCCCGCUCGCCGGAAGACCAAGGGUUCCUGUCCAACGUUAAUCGGGGCAGGGUGAGUCGACCCCUAAGGCGAGGCCGAAAGGCGUAGUCGAUGGGAAACGGGUUAAUAUUCCCGUACUUGGUGUUACUGCGAAGGGGGGACGGAGAAGGCUAUGUUGGCCGGGCGACGGUUGUCCCGGUUUAAGCGUGUAGGUGUGUGUUCCAGGUAAAUCCGGUUCACUUUAACACUGAGGCGUGAUGACGAGGCACUACGGUGCUGAAGCAACAAAUGCCCUGCUUCCAGGAAAAGCCUCUAAGCAUCAGGUAACAUCAAAUCGUACCCCAAACCGACACAGGUGGUCAGGUAGAGAAUACCAAGGCGCUUGAGAGAACUCGGGUGAAGGAACUAGGCAAAAUGGUGCCGUAACUUCGGGAGAAGGCACGCUGACAUGUAGGUGAAGUGAUUUACUCAUGGAGCUGAAGUCAGUCGAAGAUACCAGCUGGCUGCAACUGUUUAUUAAAAACACAGCACUGUGCAAACACGAAAGUGGACGUAUACGGUGUGACGCCUGCCCGGUGCCGGAAGGUUAAUUGAUGGGGUCAGCGCAAGCGAAGCUCCUGAUCGAAGCCCCGGUAAACGGCGGCCGUAACUAUAACGGUCCUAAGGUAGCGAAAUUCCUUGUCGGGUAAGUUCCGACCUGCACGAAUGGCGUAAUGAUGGCCAGGCUGUCUCCACCCGAGACUCAGUGAAAUUGAACUCGCUGUGAAGAUGCAGUGUACCCGCGGCAAGACGGAAAGACCCCGUGAACCUUUACUAUAGCUUGACACUGAACAUUGAGCCUUGAUGUGUAGGAUAGGUGGGAGGCUUUGAAGCGUGGACGCCAGUCUGCGUGGAGCCGGCCUUGAAAUACCACCCUUUAAUGUUUGAUGUUCUAACGUGGACCCGUGAUCCGGGUUGCGGACAGUGUCUGGUGGGUAGUUUGACUGGGGCGGUCUCCUCCUAAAGAGUAACGGAGGAGCACGAAGGUUGGCUAAUCCUGGUCGGACAUCAGGAGGUUAGUGCAAUGGCAUAAGCCAGCUUGACUGCGAGCGUGACGGCGCGAGCAGGUGCGAAAGCAGGUCAUAGUGAUCCGGUGGUUCUGAAUGGAAGGGCCAUCGCUCAACGGAUAAAAGGUACUCCGGGGAUAACAGGCUGAUACCGCCCAAGAGUUCAUAUCGACGGCGGUGUUUGGCACCUCGAUGUCGGCUCAUCACAUCCUGGGGCUGAAGUAGGUCCCAAGGGUAUGGCUGUUCGCCAUUUAAAGUGGUACGCGAGCUGGGUUUAGAACGUCGUGAGACAGUUCGGUCCCUAUCUGCCGUGGGCGCUGGAGAACUGAGGGGGGCUGCUCCUAGUACGAGAGGACCGGAGUGGACGCAUCACUGGUGUUCGGGUUGUCAUGCCAAUGGCACUGCCCGGUAGCUAAAUGCGGAAGAGAUAAGUGCUGAAAGCAUCUAAGCACGAAACUUGCCCCGAGAUGAGUUCUCCCUGAGACUUAAAGUCUCCUGAAGGAACGUUGAAGACGACGACGUUGAUAGGCCGGGUGUGUAAGCGCAGCGAUGCGUUGAGCUAACCGGUACUAAUGAACCGUGAGGCUUAACCUU
rnacentral:rRNA from 1 species